rnacentral:tRNA from 1 species
GGGAAAGUGGCUCAGUGGUAGAGUGCUUGCCUUACAGGCAUGAGGCCCUGGGUUCGAUUCCUCAGCACCA